UUGCAUUUGGUUUUGACAAAGGAACCAUUGUGGUUAAAAUGAAUGGCUCUCAUACUUGGGAUUCUGUUGACCUCCAAGCUUAGAAGGAAGGGUUGAAGGAAUAAAGACAUCGAAUGCUGCGCGAUUUGUACUGUGUUCUCCGAAGUAAUUAGACUAAAGGAAUAAUUAAUUUCACUUAAAACUUGCUGCUCCUGCUUUUACUGUUGUAUGAUUUGCAAAUAAAACUUAUCUUUGUGUGUUUUGUAGUAUAUCCCAUGAGGGAACAUGUUGUAAGGAUCAAUCGAAAUUGAAUGUUAUAUGUGUUCUUUAACAAAUUACACUGGUGCAUAUAGUAGAUUCAGUAAAAUACAUAUGUAAACUGCAAAUUACCAGUAAUAAAACCCUUUAUGUUCUUCCCAGAAAUUUAGUUGGUGACUGCUGUUUACUGGUGCUGAAUAAAUUUGGUGAAAAUAAUAGAAAUCUUGCCAUACAAGGAAAAAGACGGAAGGCUAGACAGGACUCUAGGAAAUUCCAGCCUCAAAUCCAAAGGGUCUCAACCAGAAGUUUUAAAGACUAAGAUUAGAACUCUCAAAUGUAUUAAAAGCACGAUCUGCAUGAAGAACAUACAAGAAUGCUCUCUCUUGUCCACAAC
rnacentral:lncRNA from 1 species